rnacentral:rRNA from 1 species
UACGUAGGGUGCGAGCGUUGUCCGGAAUUAUUGGGCGUAAAGAGCUCGUAGGCGGUCUGUCACGUCGGCUGUGAAAACCUGGGGCUCAACUCCGGGCCUGCAGUGGGUACGGGCAGACUAGAGUGCGGUAGGGGAGAUUGGAAUUCCUGGUGUAGCGGUGGAAUGCGCAGAUAUCAGGAGGAACACCAAUGGCGAAGGCAGAUCUCUGGGCCGUAACUGACGCUGAGGAGCGAAAGCAUGGGGAGCGAACAGG